rnacentral:rRNA from 1 species
AGAGUUUGAUCCUGGCUCAGGACGAACGCUGGCGGCGUGCUUAACACAUGCAAGUCGAACGGUGAUGAUCAAGCUUGCUUGGUCUGAUCAGUGGCGAACGGGUGAGUAACACGUGAGUAACCUGCCCCAGACUCUGGGAUAACCCCGGGAAACCGGAGCUAAUACCGGAUAUGACACCAAUCCGCAUGGGUAUGGUGUGGAAAGUUUUUCGGUCUGGGAUGGACUCGCGGCCUAUCAGCUUGUUGGUGAGGUAGUGGCUCACCAAGGCGACGACGGGUAGCCGGCCUGAGAGGGCGACCGGCCACACUGGGACUGAGACACGGCCCAGACUCCUACGGGAGGCAGCAGUGGGGAAUAUUGCACAAUGGGCGGAAGCCUGAUGCAGCGACGCCGCGUGAGGGAUGACGGCCUUCGGGUUGUAAACCUCUUUCAGCAGGGAAGAAGCGCAAGUGACGGUACCUGCAGAAGAAGCACCGGCUAACUACGUGCCAGCAGCCGCGGUAAUACGUAGGGUGCGAGCGUUGUCCGGAAUUAUUGGGCGUAAAGAGCUUGUAGGUGGUUUGUCGCGUCUGCUGUGAAAAUCCGAGGCUCAACCUCGGACUUGCAGUGGGUACGGGCAGACUAGAGUGUGGUAGGGGAGACUGGAAUUCCUGGUGUAGCGGUGGAAUGCGCAGAUAUCAGGAGGAACACCGAUGGCGAAGGCAGGUCUCUGGGCCAUUACUGACACUGAGAAGCGAAAGCAUGGGGAGCGAACAGGAUUAGAUACCCUGGUAGUCCAUGCCGUAAACGUUGGGAACUAGGUGUGGGUCUCAUUCCACGAGAUCCGUGCCGCAGCUAACGCAUUAAGUUCCCCGCCUGGGGAGUACGGCCGCAAGGCUAAAACUUAAAGGAAUUGACGG